CAGUAAUCUGCUGGACUGCCGACAGCUAUUUUGAGCCCUUUCCCGUUCUGGGCAAGGCAGUUUCACUUGUAUAAAACAGACGGGCAGGUGCCCUUACAUCUGUCAUUAAAAGGCUCUUGGCCGACGCCGGAUGGUCCGGGCCCCGCGCAGCAGCUCCGCGCCGCUGCCCCGCUCCGGCCCCGCCGCUGGGCGGGAGGAGACGCCCCUGCGCCCCGCCGGCUCUGGCAGUAUUUGCCGGUUACCUGCAAAUCGCAGAGCUCCCGGUCCUGAAAGCCCGAGCGCUCCUUAACAACGCAUAAAUAAUGGAGGACAGGCAGAAUGAAUGAGUGCGGCGGGCGGAGAGCGGGCUGAGCCUCACCCCUAAUGGAUCGGGGCGCCGAGGAGGUGAGGGGCAAGAGGGUUUGGGUGAAAAAUCGUCGGCUUUGAAGCACACCUCGGAGCUAACCGUGCUCGGAGGACGGGGGAAAGGGGGUUGUCCACCCUAGGGUUUCACCUACCAUGGUGUAGGGAGGGCCUCCCGACACUGCCCGCAUAGCCCCCAACCCCGCAAAAUAGCUAAAAAAAAAAAAAAAAAAAAAAAAAAAAAAAAAAAAAAAAAAAAAAAAAAAGUGGGGGAAGAGGGGCGAAACCCUUUAUUGUUAUUGUGGUUGUUCCCGGCCUCCCUGCCCGCCUCCCCGGCGGCGCUCCGCGGUGCCAGGAUUUCCCUGCAGCCCGCCCUCCCCGCCCGCAGCGCCGCCGGCAGCGCCGCCUCCCCCGGCAGCCGCUCGCCGCCCGCGGCCCCGCGCCGCGCCCCCGGCACACGGCGCGCCGCCGCCCGCGCACUGACAGACGCUCGCAGGUGCCGCGCUCGCCCCGAGUCGCGGAGGGGCGGCCUCGCUGCCCUCCCGGCUCCGCACCGGCGGGAGGGAGGUAGCUCGGGAGGGAGGAGCGGCGCGGGAGCAGCGGAGGCGCCGUUUUCUCAAGUUGAGGAAGUAACAGGGCAUUUGGUUGGUACCUGACCCCAAAACUUGUGCUCUACCUUGCGAAGAGCUGAUGUGGGAGAUAUUUGCCUUCACAUACUCCACAGUUCUCUGUAUCAGAAGGAUAAGACUUUGUGUGCAAGAGUGCUUCAAGAUGACGAUGUAACUAACAUUGUUAACACUGAAGAUCUCCUGAGAAGAACUGGCUUUGUAAGAGGCUUCUCCUUCCCUCACUUUUUUUUUUUUUUUAACUACUUC
rnacentral:lncRNA from 1 species